GUGGGGAAUAUUCCGCAAUGGACGAAAGUCUGACGGAGCAACGCCGCGUGAGUGAUGAAGGUUUUCGGACUGUAAAGCUCUGUUGUUUGGGACGAAAGUGCCUGUUGCGAACAGUUACGGGUAUUGACGGUACUAAACGAGGAAGCCACGGCUAACUACGUGCCAGCAGCCGCGGUAAUACGUAGGUGGCAAGCGUUGUCCGGAAUUAUUGGGCGUAAAGAGCAUGUAGGCGGGAUUCUAAGUCUGUUGUUAAAAUGCGGGGCUCAACCCCGUAUUGCGAUGGAAACUGGGUUUCUUGAGUGCAGGAGGGGAAAGGGGAAUUCCCAGUGUAGCGGUGAAAUGCGUAGAUAUUGGGAGGAACACCAGUGGCGAAGGCGCCUUUCUGGACUGUGUCUGACGCUGAGAUGCGAAAGCCAGGGUAGCGAACGGGAUUAGAAACCCGUGUAGUCC
rnacentral:rRNA from 1 species